UAAGGAAUAUUGGACAAUGGACGCAAGUCUGAUCCAGCCAUGCCGCGUGAAGGAUGAAUGCCCUCUGGGUUGUAAACUUCUUUUAUAGGGGAAGAAAGAUACUUUUUUUGAGGUAGUUGACGGUACCCUAUGAAUAAGCACCGGCUAACUCCGUGCCAGCAGCCGCGGUAAUACGGAGGGUGCAAGCGUUAUCCGGAUUUACUGGGUUUAAAGGGUGCGUAGGCGGGCAUGUAAGUCAGUGGUGAAAUACCGGAGCUUAACUUCGGAACUGCCAUUAAUACUAUAUGUCUGGAAUAUUGUGGAGGUAAGCGGAAUAUGUCAUGUCGCGGUGAAAUGCAUAGAUAUGACAUAGAACACCGAUUGCGGAGGCAGCUUGCUACGCAAAUAUUGACGCUGAGGCACGAAAGCGUGGGGAUCAAACA
rnacentral:rRNA from 1 species